rnacentral:lncRNA from 1 species
UUCAAUACUAUAUAAUCUUUUUCUUUCUUUUCUUUUAAAAUCAUCAACUUUCUUAUACAUAAUAUUUUCAUUCUAAAAAAUACCAAUAAAACUCACAUCAAAGGCACCUUCAUCUCGCGAGAGUACCUCCUCUUUUGUACCUCCAUAAUCUCGCUUUAUAGUGGUACUUCUCCAAAAUCCUUAAAUCCUUCAACAACCCUAUGCAAUGGUUUCUCCUUCAACCUACCUCGAUUCCAUUCAUGAUUAGGAGAUAUUGUUAGAAAUUGUAAAGCUUUCCUUUUAUCUUCACUACGUAUCCUUGUAU